GAUGAACGCUGGCGGCGUGCCUAACACAUGCAAGUCGAGCGAACAGACUACGAGCUUGCUCCUCUGCCGUUAGCGGUGGCCGGUUUAGUAACACGUUGAUACCCUACCUUUACGACUGGGAUUAUUUCGUAAUACCUGAUCUAAUACCAGAUAAUCUUUUUUACUGCAUUGUUCAAUUGUUAUUGACGGUUUUGCCGUCACUUUUAUAUGUAUUCGGGCCGGAUUAGCUUGUUGGUAAGGUAACGGCUUAGCAAGUCGACGAUGCGUGUCCGACCUGAGAGGAGAGUGAGCCACACUGGAACUGAAACACGGUCCAGACUCCUACGGGAGGCAGCAGUGGGGAAUCUUACACAAUGGGCGAAAGCCUGAACGAGCAACGCCGCGUGGGUGAAAAAGGUCUUCGGAUAGUAAAUCUCUGUUGUUGGGGAAGAACAAAAGUAUGAUUAACUAUGACCGUCUUGACGGUACCUAAUGAAAAAGCAACGGCUAACUACGUG
rnacentral:rRNA from 1 species